GGGCCUGUAGUUCAGUUGGUUAGAACGAGCCGCUCAUAACGGCUAUGCCGGGGGUUCAAGUCCCUCCAGGCCCACCA
rnacentral:tRNA from 2 species